GUGGUUUGAGGCUUGUUUUAUUAUUUUUGAUUUAUUUUGUUGAAUGUCUGAAUUUUAUGUUGUUAUCUUUUAGUUGUAGAGUACAGCAGGUUAGUGAGGACUUGUAUAUGUUUUCUUCUCCUGUUUAGAGCGGCUAGUGUGACACCUCGUGGUUUGCCGUACCAAAAUUAUUUUAUUUUCAUCAGGGAUGGAACGGGAACAGAAAUAAACCAGCUGGCGUGCAACAAAGUGGUUUCCCACCGUCAUUCUCCACACACAGCGCAGAGGAGAGAGAGUUAGCCCAGACCCGCUACAUUUAGACUAAACAGACAGGAGACAAAUGGAGAAACAAGUUGAGCAGCAGUUCUCUCUGAGGAGCUGCAUCCUGACUGACGGGCUGCACAUAUCCAUCAAAGCCAGGACUGAAAGAGGGGAUUGUUUUUAGCAGCUGCAGAGUUAAAGCAGAGCUGCUGGAAGCUGGAAGUCCGUGGUGUUAUACAGCAGAGUGGAGAGCUGGAAACAGGAUUCACUCCGUUGUCAGCCUCCAAAAGAAGAACACCUGUAGUACCACCUGGAAUGUGCCAAAACCACCCUGGGCUCCAAACCACCAGCCUACCUCCAGACGCCAUACUCACUACCUCUGCAUCUGUGCAUCGGGAACGAGAGGUUUUCCCCUGAAGGAAUGAAAGGAGUCUUACCAAAGUGGACAUUCCCCCCUCCCUAAAGUCAGUAAGGUUUUCCAGACCUAGCAACACCAGACUAAGUUUAGCUUUAGACCGCUUAUGCAAGUUACUAUCUUGUCAGCUUUUACACAUGGGUUUAUAGGUUACAGUUUCUGGGUUUUUGUGCAGUUUACUGGUAGAACUGGGAUUCGUUAGUUUUGUAUUUUUCCCCGUUUCUUUGUUUUCCUGCCUUGGUGUUACCAACAGUGGGUUAACCGUAGUUUUUGUUUUGUAGUUUUUCCUCCUAGCCACUAGAGGUUCUACGUUCAGUUCUGCCUUAUGGGGAUCAGUUAUUCUUCCUGUUCCAGUAGUUAGUUUCCGGUUCCGGUUGCAGUCCUUGUGUAACUAAAAAGUGUUUCUAAACUGAACAUCUGCCUGUUCUCAUUUCCUGCUCUUGAGCCUCAUGCACCCGCCAUAACAAUGUCUUGAAAAUAUUUUUAUCUUGUAUGCUGUUUGUCUAGUUUCUCUUGGCUCCCCUUCUCUUUCUCCUUUACCCUCACCCCAGCUGAUCGAGGCAGAUGGCAGCCCUUCCUGAGCCUGGUUCUGCCAGAAGCUUUUUCCUAUUAAAGAUGAUUUUUGGUUUUUAUUAGCUGCACUGUCUCCAAAGUGCAUGCUCAAAGGGAAUUACUGGAUUUGUUGGGGUUCUCUCUAUAAUGUAAUACUUAACCUUUGUGUCGUCCUGCGGGUCAAAAUUGACCCAUUUUAAAGUUUGAACAUGUGUGUGUGGGGGGGAAAUUCAGUGAAACUUCUGAUGUCCACAUUUUUGGGAAAUCUUUAAAAAAUUUUUUGGUGGGAAAUGAAAAUGUUCUAAAAGGAAACUAUUAGUUUUACUGAUAUAUGUGUGUAAUGACUUCAGACUUUUAGAAUUUUUUUGGGGGGAAGAUUUUUACUCUUUUUGAAAAGAUUUACAAGAAUUUUCUGGACAAAUUUGGGGGCUUCUUUUUUUUUUUUUUUAAAAGUUAAGAGAAACUUUUAAGGAAUUAUUGGAAUUUUCUUCCUGAAGUUUGGGAAUUUUUUUGCUGAAUUUUUUUCAGACAAGGAAAUAUUUUUUGGUGCCCGUAAAUGAGGACAACAGGAGGGUUAAAGGUCUUAAUUCACUACUGUUUGAAGUGCCCUGAGAUAACUUAUAUUGUUAAUUAGCGCCGCAAAAAUAAUACUGAGCUGAACUGAAAUUGACAGAAAUCUGAGAGUAGUUAAAUGAUAAAACGUGUACCAGGAGACAGCCCAAAGGUAAAUAAAACAGCCUUAAAUGCCCAAACUGUGAUGAGGGGCUGUAUAUAGACCACAGUGAGCUACACUUUCAGGAGUCAGAGGCCACUGACCUUAUUUAACCCUGAUUGGAAAUCUAUUGUGUCUGUCAGCUGCCAGUGUCUUCAGGUUCAUCAAGUCAAUAGAACAAACCUACUGGACCAGUUUUCUUUCUUCUUUUUUUCAGCACCAGACAAUCAAUUACGACAACUGAAGCACCACCGUGUUCCUCUUCAUCACUUACAUGUGGCCUCAGUUCUCGCCUUUGUUGUUCUCUCCUCGCCCAAGAGGGCCCUGAAGGGUGUGAUUUCACUCUCUGAUCAAAAGAACCAGUCGCAUAUAGACACAAAGGUCUGCUGACUGCUGGGAACUGUUCUGACAGCUCACGGAGAAGAGCGUCACGGUGGUCCUACGGGGCAGAUAUAGACAGAGCUCAUGCGGAUUCAUCAGCAUGCAUGAAAUUAGGAGAAAUAUUCACUUACUGUAUAUAUUAUCCUUCAAGAUAGACAGACUGUGCACAACUUUGAUGUCGCCGCUGUAUGAGACAGCAAUUCUGACGUGAACUAUGAAGCACUGACGUCCUUCAGUUGAAUUUCUAUGUGGGUCAGUUUAACCUAAAUCACAACAAAGGCUUUUUUUCUUUUUUUAAACUUGCUUUUGAGCAUGGCUGGCUACGCAUAUUCUUUUGUCUUUAGGAUGUUUCACAGGGAAAACAGCAGCAAUGUACACAGUGCACAGGGAGGUCUGUAAAUUAUUCAGAGCGGAGGUAAUCAAACUGUGAGGUGGAGGGAAGGCGUGCAGGGGACAGGUGUACUGUGGUAACUGGUAGCAACAGGGUGCUAUUCCUAAUGAUGGAAAGUAACUAAAUACAUGUACUCAAGUACUGUACUCAAGUAACAUUUUACACAUUUAUCUAACAGAUUUAGUUGCUUUACACAUUAAUUUAUUCAUAAAAUAUAUGAAAAUCUUGUAAAAUAGGAUUCUUUGCUAUGGAUUAAACUACCAGACCAUGAAUAUAAAUAGAGCUGGAAGACAAUUAAUGGUUUAUUUGAGUGAUAAGAUAUUUAUCGUCAGCUUUUGGGAUAAUUUUAUACAAAAACGCCGAAAACAUUUCAUGGCUGAUUUCCCCUUUCAUUAUCUUAAUUUAUAUUUAAUCAUUUUGAGAUUUCAAAAUGAACAUUGUGGAUUUUCACAUUUUAUUUUAAUUUUUUUAAUCAAUUGAUUAAUCAAGAAAAUAAUUCGUCAAAGCCCUACUUUAAAUUGCUAAAACUACAUAUUAUUGUAAGAGUAACAAUAAUAUAAUAGUACAACAAUCACAUAGGAUGUUUUUACUACAUUGAGCAUUUUUACUUUUAUACUUUUAAAAAAAGUAUUUUAACUGUUUAUACUCACAUAUUUUUAUUUGAAUGCUUCAGUUCAGGACUUUAACCUGUAACAGAGUAUUUUUUGGGUGUGGUAUGAAUACCUUUAAAUUAGUAAAGGACCUGAAUACUUCCUCUACUGCUGGUUAUU